AGGAGCCCUCAUCAGGCUGUAUUUAAAUUUCUGCUUUCCACCCCAGUGCCUCUAAAAUUGUUAAACUGUGUCGUCCUUGCGGCUUUAUUAAACCUCGCAAGAUCCAGCCAAGCUUGACAAACGCAGGAGCGGAGUUUCCGCCGAGUCGGGUGGAUUUGCCAGGCGGGAUCCUGCUCCCUUCCAGCCGCUCCAGGAAGCCCCCGGCCCUUUGUGCAGGCACCAAGCGCCCAGCAAUUGUGUCUCUAAUCAACUGCUCUGAGCAGAUUGGUGGGACCUGUAACUUCAGAUCGAUUGAGUUCUCUGCCUUGUUCUCCUGCCACCCAUCUCUUGAGAAGAGUGGACAUCCAGGACUUCAUGCAGGGCAAAGCCCCUCUUGUCUCCUCUUGCACGGUCCCCUCAGGCUGCUGCAAAGCCAGGAGCUCCCCUUCCAUGCAUGAGACCCAAACACCUUUGGGGAGGCCAGGAACUGUGGAGCCCUGCUAAGACUCCAGAGGCCAAGAAUUACAAAGCCCGCCUACCUGCUUGAAGCAGAAGAUAGAGGGAGAACAGACUCUAAUUAAUAUUUCAAUAAA